rnacentral:rRNA from 1 species
AGCCUGAGAAACGGCUACCACAUCCAAGGAAGGCAGCAGGCGCGCAAAUUACCCAAUCCCGACUCGGGGAGGUAGUGACAAUAAAUAACAAUGCCGGGCUCUCGUAGUCUGGCAAUUGGAAUGAGUCCAAUCUAAACCCCUUAACGAGGAACAAUUGGAGGGCAAGUCUGGAGCCAGCAGCGGCGGUAAUUCCAGGUCCAAUAGCGUAUAUUAAAGUUGUUGCAGUUAAAAAGCUCGUAGUUGGAUUUCGGGGCGGCCCGGCCGGUCCGCCGCGAGGCGAGCACUGGUCGGGCGCCCUUCCUCUCGAAGGCUUCGACUGCGCUUGAUUGCGGUGGUCGAGGAGUUCGGGACGUUUACUUUGAAAAAAUUAGAGUGUUCAAGGCAGGCCGUCGCCUGAAUACAUUAGCAUGGAAUAAUGGAAGAGGACCUCGGUCCUAUUUUGUUGGUUUCCAGGGCCGAAGUAAUGAUUAAGAGGGACAGUU